rnacentral:rRNA from 1 species
AGAGUUUGAUCCUGGCUCAGGAUGAACGUUGGCGGCGUGCCUAACACAUGCAAGUCGAACGGUAGGUUCCCUUCGGGGAGUUGAGAGUGGCGCACGGGUGAGUAACACGUAACUGAUCUGCCCUGUAGAGCGGGAUAACUUGUGGAAACAUGGGCUAAUACCGCAUGAGCUCACGGUAGUUAGAGAGCAGUGAGAAAAUGCAUAUGCGCUACGGGAUGAGGUUGCGUCCCAUCAGCUAGUUGGUGAGGUAAAGGCUCACCAAGGCGAUGACGGGUAGGGGACCUGAGAGGGUGACCCCCCACACUGGGACUGAGACACGGCCCAGACUCCUACGGGAGGCAGCAGUGAGGGAUAUUGCACAAUGGACGGAGGUCUGAUGCAGCGACGCCGCGUGGGCGAAGAAGGUUUUCGGAUCGUAAAGUCCUUUUCUAUGUGACGAGAUAGGACGGUAGCAUAGGAAUAAGUGUCGGCUAACUACGUGCCAGCAGCCGCGGUAAAACGUAGGACGCGAACGUUAUCCGGAGUUACUGGGCGUAAAGCGCGCGCAGGCGGUCAGCUAAGUCUUCUAUGAAAGUUACCGGCUAAACUGGUAGAGUGUAGAAGAAACUGUCUGACUAGAGAGAAAUAGAGGGAAGUAGAAUUCCGGGUGUAGUGGUGAAAUGCGUAGAUAUCCCGGAGGAAUACCGGUGGCGAAGGCGGCUCCCUGGAUUUCCACUGACGCUGAGGCGCGAAAGCGUGGGUAGCGAACGGGAUUAGAAACCCCGGUAGUCCACGCUGUAAACGAUGUACAUUAGGCGUUCGGUUGUCGUUAGGCAAUUGAGUGUCGCAGCAAACGCGAUAAGUGUACCGCCUGGGGAGUACGGUCGCAAGGCUAAAACUCAAAGGAAUUGACGGGGGCCCGCACAAGCAGCGGAGCGUGUGGUUUAAUUCGAGGCUACGCGAAGAACCUUACCUGGGUUUGACAUGCUGGUAGUACGGAAGCGAAAGCGGAAGGACCCUUCGGGGAGCCAGCACAGGUGCUGCAUGGUUGUCGUCAGUUCGUGCCGUGAGGUGUUCGGUUAAGUCCGCAAACGAGCGCAACCCUCGGAGCUAGUUACAAGUGUCUAGCUCGACUGCCCGUGACAAACGGGAGGAAGGUGGGGAUGACGUCAAAUCAGCAUGGCCUUUAUAUCCAGGGCGACACACACGCUACAAUGGUCGAUACAAUGGGUGGCGAAGGCGCGAGUUGGAGCGAAUCCUAAAAAGUCGAUCUCAGUUCGGAUUGCAGGCUGCAACUCGCCUGCAUGAAGUCGGAGUUGCUAGUAACCGCGAAUCAGCACGUUGCGGUGAAUACGUUCCCGGGCCUUGUACACACCGCCCGUCACGUCAUGGAAGUUGGUCGAGCCUGAAGUCGGGAAGCUAACCUUCGGGGGGCUACUGCCUAGGGCAGGGUUGAUGACUGGGACGAAGUCGUAACAAGGUAGCC